rnacentral:rRNA from 1 species
GGAGUCUAGCAUGUGCGCGAGUCAUUGGGACCAAACGAAACCUAAAGGCGCAAUGAAAGUGAAGGUCGGCCUAGCGCCGACCGAGGGAGGAUGGGCCGCGUCACGUCGCGGCCCCGCACUCCCGGGGCGUCUCGCUCUCAUCGCGAGAAGAGGCGCACCCAGAGCGUACACGCUGGGACCCGAAAGAUGGUGAACUAUGCCUGGUCAGGACGAAGUCAGGGGAAACCCUGAUGGAGGUCCGAAGCGAUUCUGACGUGCAAAUCGAUCGUCGGAACUGGGUAUAGGGGCGAAAGACUAAUCGAACCAUCUAGUAGCUGGUUCCCUCCGAAGUUUCCCUCAGGAUAGCUGGCGCUCGCUAUUUGCGAGUCUCAUCUGGUAAAGCGAAUGAUUAGAGGCAUUGGGGUCGAAACGGCCUCAACCUAUUCUCAAACUUUAAAUGGGUGAGAUCUCCGGCUUGCUUGAACGGUGAAGCCGCGAGAUCGGAUCAGAGUGCCAAGUGGGCCAUUUUUGGUAAGCAGAACUGGCGCUGUGGGAUGAACCAAACGCAGAGUUAAAGCUCCCAAAUCGACGCUUAUGGGAUACCAUGAAAGGCGUUGGUAACUUAAGACAGCAGGACGGUGGCCAUGGAA